CUCAGUGUCAAGGAUGGAUAUUUUACUGGGCAUGAGGAUGGUGAACCUGUCCCCACUUCCUCUCCCCACUGAGCCCCGCCUCAUUCCUCCUUACCUUCCAGAAUCCUCCUGGAAGAAGCUCUGUGGUGCAGUGGGCAGUGAUGGUCCUGUUUGUGCUGUGCUCUGUUCUCAUUUGGGCUGUAAAACACUCAGGCAGAAUUAAGUGAAUUCACAUUUUCACUCUUUCUCGAGAGGGAGGAGAGGCGAGCUUGCUUGAUGAGAAAAAGUCUCUGAAGGGAUGGCAGUGUGUUUUUGCACCUGGGACAAAGCAACAAAUGGAAACAUCAGGGAUAAUGUCAGAGAUAGCAUGAUGGUGUGGAAGGCAGCGUGGAAAUAUGGAAAUGCCAACCAGCAGAUCUUUCAUAUAGGCAAUAUCUUGGGGCUGGGGGGAACUUUUUUUAAACCUUUUGUUUAGACCUUCCUUUAACAUUCUGUCUGCUUAUGUGCUCAUGAUAAAGGACGCUUCAUCUACAUUUUUUCUUUUUUUGCUAGAAAAUACAAAUAUUAUGCAAAAGAGUAGGAUGCUUUGCAUUUUCUGAAGUUUUUGUGGUUUAAUGCACAUAAAACACAGGUGCAGCUACGAAUCUUCAUAAAUAAGUACAGCUGGUAUGAAUAGUGUAGCUGUAGUCAGGCUCCAUAACCACCAUUCAGGGA
ensembl:lncRNA